rnacentral:rRNA from 1 species
AUGGCAAGCCCCUCCGAUUUCCCUGUCGCUCAUUCCCGUGCUGUCUUGGAGAGCAGUGAGUUCAUCUUCCCCAAGCUCUAUCUUUUCCAUCCCCUCCGUGACACAGAUGGUGGGCAAAUCACAAUAAUAGAUGUGAAUGGUACUUCCGGUUUCGGUGCGACGAUCGUUAACAACUGGGCGAUACACGAUGGACCGGACCCCAAUGCCGCCAUUGUUGCCCGUGCUGAAGGCCUGCGUAUCAGUGCAGGCAGCUGGCACAAUAGUUUCAGCAUAGUUUUUGAGAUUGCAAGAAGGGAAGCUGAAGUCAUCUAA